rnacentral:rRNA from 1 species
UACAGAGGUCUCAAGCGUUGUUCGGAUUCAUUGGGCGUAAAGGGUGCGUAGGUGGCGCCGUAAGUCAGGUGUGAAAUCUCGGGGCUCAACCCCGAAACUGCACUUGAUACUGCGGUGCUCGAGUACUGGAGAGGAGAUUGGAAUUUACGGUGUAGCAGUGAAAUGCGUAGAUAUCGUAAGGAGGACCAGUGGCGAAGGCGAAUCUCUGGACAGUUACUGACACUGAGGCACGAAGGCCAGGGGAGCAAACGGG